GAUGAACGCUGGCGGCGUGCCUAACACAUGCAAGUCGAGCGAUUUACUUCGGUAAAGAGCGGCGGACGGGUGAGUAACGCGUGGGUAACCUGCCCUGUACACACGGAUAACAUACCGAAAGGUAUGCUAAUACGAGAUAAUAUGCUCUUAUCGCAUGGUAGAAGUAUCAAAGCUUUUGCGGUACAGGAUGGACCCGCGUCUGAUUAGCUAGUUGGUAAGGUAACGGCUUACCAAGGCGACGAUCAGUAGCCGACCUGAGAGGGUGAUCGGCCACAUUGGAACUGAGACACGGUCCAAACUCCUACGGGAGGCAGCAGUGGGGAAUAUUGCACAAUGGGCGAAAGCCUGAUGCAGCAACGCCGCGUGAGCGACGAAGGCCUUCGGGUCGUAAAGCUCUGUCCUCAAGGAAGAUAAUGACGGUACUUGAGGAGGAAGCCCCGGCUAACUACGUGCCAGCCGCCGCGGUAA
rnacentral:rRNA from 1 species